UACGGGGGGGGCAAGCGUUGUUCGGAAUUACUGGGCGUAAAGGGCUCGUAGGUGGCCAACUAAGUCAGACGUGAAAUCCCUCGGCUUAACCGGGGAACUGCGUCUGAUACUGGAUGGCUUGAGUUUGGGAGGGGGACGCGGAAUUCCAGGUGUAGCGGUGAAAUGCGUAGAUAUCUGGAGGAACACCGGUGGCGAAGGCGGCGUCCUGGACCAACACUGACACUGAGGAGCGAAAGCCAGGGGAGCAAACGGGG
rnacentral:rRNA from 1 species